GCCGGAGCGGCCCCCGGUGUGUGCUCAGGAGUAGGCCACGCCUCCCUGCCAACUGGCGGGAGCCGAGUCGUCCGGGCCAAUGAAGGGCCGAAAUUACCAGCUAAGCUCCACCUCCGGAGAAGGAGAACAGUUGGACAAUUAUGAGGCACAUUCUGCUUCCGAAUGUCUCCAGGGGAAUCAAAACCCACACACCCAAAGCAGUGACCUUCUGGAUCAAUCAUCCUUGGAUUGGCUUUCCUGGUUUGCCUGUAUUUUACUCUUCCUAGUCUCUGACCCCAUGUUCCUUGAGAUUACUCCUGAAAAUAAACUACCUGUUUGUAA